ACUUUCUCAAUAUGGCAUAUACCAACACAGAUGAGCUUUCAUUCGGAAAUGUAUAUGCCAUUUGGAAUCAAAGAUUCACUUUAUUGAAUACUUUGAUGCUGAGGAGACACAAGAGUGCGACUGGGAGUUUCCUGUACAGGUCCAACUACUGAGGACCCAACGACAUUUCUCACUAGCACAGAAGUACGUUCAGAGACUACAUCCAUGCACAUCCCUUCUUCUGCCCAGCCGACACAACAGCCAAAUUAUCCUGUAACCACUGUUUCUCAGCAUGCCAUACGUACACAGAACGCAGUUUCCCAGCCAACACAAAGACCAAAUCAUGCCGAAACCAAUGUUUCUCAGAGCAUGGCUUACCAAAUGACAAGGCUGGCACAAAGGAGGACCACUGGAACUACAGGUGCGUGGUACGAGGACCCUCUGAACCUUGCAAUGGUCUGCCUAGGCUGUGGUGUGGGUAUCAUCGCCUUGGUGAUGUUUGGCUACUGCGGUCACAGACGCAAACGACAAAAACAGCAAGUGGCCCAAGCUCCACAGGAUGGAGAUGAAGAAGAACCAGUUCAACCACAAGGCAAAUGUGACAAAAACAAUUGA